AACGAACGCUGGCGGCAGGCCUAACACAUGCAAGUCGAGCGGAUCCUUCGGGAUUAGCGGCGGACGGGUGAGUAACGCGUGGGAAUAUGCCCUUCUCUACGGAAUAGCCUCGGGAAACUGAGAGUAAUACCGUAUACGCCCUUUGGGGGAAAGAUUUAUCGGAGAAGGAUUAGCCCGCGUUGGAUUAGGUAGUUGGUGGGGUAAUGGCCUACCAAGCCUACGAUCCAUAGCUGGUUUGAGAGGAUGAUCAGCCACACUGGGACUGAGACACGGCCCAGACUCCUACGGGAGGCAGCAGUGGGGAAUCUUAGACAAUGGGGGCAACCCUGAUCUAGCCAUGCCGCGUGAGUGAUGAAGGCCUUAGGGUUGUAAAGCUCUUUCAGCUGGGAAGAUAAUGACGGUACCAGCAGAAGAAGCCCCGGCUAACUCCGUGCCAGCAGCCGCCGUAACAC
rnacentral:rRNA from 1 species